GAAUGUGACUUUGCACUGAAAAGCCAAAAAGACACAGAGGAAGAAACAUCUCACAUCACCUCCUUCCUCUGCAUCUCCCCCUUUCUCCAAUCCUGUCAAGUUUUAUUAUGCUCAGAAGGCAACCAGAUCACAGCUACUGCAGAUUUGGGGUGGCCUCAAAACUUCCUGGGAUGAGACAAGGAGAGGACCAUAGUUACACAGGCAUUCCCUUCAAUCCCUGCAUCUCUUCCAGGCAAGAAGCCUUCAUAUUAACGCCAGUGUGGGAAGAGUCCCCACGUCUACGUAAACUAACUCUUCUAGAAACUGACUUCUUGCAGAGCCUUGUGGUGAACCAGAUGUUGUACCUGUUGCCCUAUUACUACUAAUGUUGCACCUACUGAGCAUAAUCUGCUAGCUGAUGUUGAACCUCACAUAAUCUAUCCAAUGUUUCUUCUGCUGCUUCUCACUCUCUUAUGACCAGGGAUAUGUUUUCUGGACUAACAGCCUCUCCCUGAAUAUUUGCUGGGAACACUGGUCCAAAUUCAUUCCACUUGUCUUCGUUUGACUACCUAAGGAUCUGAGUUAGGAACUCUGUGAGUCAACCGAGAGGAAGAGAGGCAGCCUUGCAGGUGCUGAAGAUUUUAAGUGGUUGUCACUCUCUUAUGAUUGUGCUUGUAAUGAAGCUCUCCUGUGAGGAGAUAUAUAACACUGUAUGUGAUAAAGAAAGGUGACUGUAGCAUGAAUUAAAAAAUAAACAAUAUGCCAUCACUUUAGCCGAGCAAUAUGGGAGUAAUUUAACUUUACUCACAUGAGAACACGGACUAAUGUAUUUUGAGGUUUAGUUUCUUUUUCACUUCAUUUUGUCCUUCCAUAUGAUUAUUAACAAAUACAGAUGUGCUUAAUCAGCAUAAGACAAUCAUUAUUUACCAAAAUUCUC